UAGCAUAUGCAAUGGAGAACAUAUCAUCAUUCAUAUCUUUACCUAUAGCACCAAGUAAAACUCCUCCAUCCUUAUGCUUAACAAAUGUUCCAUCCAUGAAUAUUGGAGGUCUAUAACCUUUUAUGAAACUAUUGAUUAAGGCUUUAAAUGAAAUGAAUAGAUGUCUAAAUUGAUCUUCAAUGAUUUCAUACGUUGCUAUGCUACCAGGGUUGGUCUGAAGAAUGGCAUCAUUAUACCAUCGUAUCCUUUCAUAAGAUACCUCUCACCAU
rnacentral:lncRNA from 1 species